rnacentral:misc_RNA from 1 species
AAUUCUCAACCUCUCUAGUUUCUUUUGACUAGUUAGGCUUGGACCAUGGAAGUUGCUGGCUCUAUUCGAAACAGCUCUUCUCAAAUGUAUUAGCAAAGGCUCGUGCUGACCAACUCUGGUAUGAUAAUUAUCUAUAUCAUUGUUGACCAGUUCCCUUUCAUCAGGGAGGUCUUGCUUCUAAUCGUCUUUUAGACAAUUUUGAUAA